UGUUGCAUCGUCAAUACAGGCAAAUCCAAGAGUAUUAUCCAAAAAAUUAUUGAAAUGGCCGAAGAAUACAAUUACUUGACUGUUUAUGUCUUUUUGAUCUAAACGAAAAUGUAAACAAGAAAAAUUGCCGUAUAUGGAGUGAAUCAAGUCCAAAAAUAAUCUAAGAGACGGAACUUCAUCAAAAACGAAUCCCAGUGUAGUGUGCAGUUUCAUCAAUGUGUAUUGUCGGACCGUUCGUGAGUCACCCUGUAUUUCCAAUACUAUAAGAAAUCGUUCAUGAAGUGUCCAAGAAGUUGAGAAUAUGAUAUGAAAGGGAAUGCAGAAAAUUGCCUACUCAAGUGCCAGACUUAUGUUGCUCGUGUGAACGCAAUGAGCGAAGAGAAUUUGCCGAUAAAGAGCGACAAAGGAGUCCUUGUGUAAGCCCUGUCUAAGAGAGCAGAUUAUAACAUUUUCCAUACUGAAACCAAUUUAAGGCAUUCGCAGAAAACUACGCAUGGCAUAAUAAUAUUGUUGUGAAUGCAUAUUAAUAAAAAAUAGAAUUCGUCAAAACGAAGUCAAAAGCUAAACCAUAUUUUGUAGGAGAGAAAAAAUGCAAGCAAAUCAUAAAUAUUAUCAAAAUAAG